AAGAACAGGAGCAGAAUUUACAUUUAGCAAACAUUUUGACAAUGGUGUCAAUGAGCAUCUGGCAUUUCUUAUUUGUGGUGAUUGUUUCUCAACAAGGUAUCAGUGGUGAUGAAAUCCGAUUAGAUCAGUCUCCUGCUGUGAUAAAGAGACCUGGAGAAACAGUGAAAAUCUCCUGUAAAAUAUCUGGUUUUACAAUGACAGACUACUGGAUGCACUGGAUCAGAGAGAAGCCAGGGAAAGCUCUGGAGUGGAUUGGGGGAGUAAACUCUGGCAGUAGUUCUAGCUCUAAUUAUCUUAUUUACGCAGACUCUGUGAAAAAUCACUUCACUAUGAGUGAGGAUGUGUCUCAAAGUACACAGUAUCUUGAAGCCAAGAGUCUGAGAGAAGAGGACACUGCUGUUUAUUACUGUGCUCGACAGACACAGUGACUCCAUCUGUUGAAGAGGCCCUACAAUAACCACAGCUAAAUUACUAUUAUUAUUGUUAUUAAAUUGUUAUUAUUAUUAUUUUUAAAUAUUAGUUGUCAUUGUGAUACGAUCAUCAUGAUUUUAAUUCUCACUAGUUCUAUUCAGAUUUCUUGUUUGUAUCUGAAACUCACCAACUCACCUCACUACUCACCAUUUAUAUGACCAUUGAAAGGACAGAGUUUACUGAUGAUGGAGAUUGCAGUUUUUUGAUUUUCAUUCAGAUUUGUAUUUAUUUGUUAACUUUAAUUAUUUUUCUUUCAUCCAGCUUACUGUAACUCAAUGGCAAAAAGUGAUCAAUUAAUUCAAAUGUACAGUACUCUUGCUUUAAUUGCUGUAGUGAUGCUCAACAAUAAGCAAAGCCACACAUCAGUGCAACAACCACCACUGUCAGUCACAUCCUGAAAUGCCAAAACAUCUCCCUCCGUCCUCCUCACGGACCUCAUUUACCUCCAAUAACAGCACAGAUCUACAGCUUUCUGAUGAGCAUCAUUUGAGUGAAAAUAAAGGUAUUUCUGUGUCUAUGAACAUCACGACACCUGCAGUGUUUACUGAGC